rnacentral:rRNA from 1 species
GACGAACGCUGGCGGCGUGCCUAAUACAUGCAAGUCGAGCGAAUCAAUGGGAGCUUGCUCCCUGAGAUUAGCGGCGGACGGGUGAGUAACACGUGGGUAACCUGCCUGUAAGACUGGGAUAACUUCGGGAAACCGGAGCUAAUACCGGAUACGUUCUUUUCUCGCAUGAGAAGAGAUGGAAAGAUGUUUUCGGCUAUCACUUACAGAUGGACCCGCGGCGCAUUAGCUAGUUGGUGAGGUAACGGCUCACCACGGCGACGAUGCGUAGCCGACCUGGGAGGUUGAUCGGACACAUUGGGACUGAGACACGGCCCAGACUCCUACGGGAGGCAGCAGUAGGGAAUCUUCCGCAAUGGACGAAAGUCUGACGGAGCAACGCCGCGUGAGCGAAGAAGGCCUUCGGGUCGUAAAGCUCUGUUGUUAGGGAAGAACAAGUACGAGAGUAACUGCUCGUACCUUGACGGUACCUAACCAGAAAGCCACGGCUAACUACGUGCCAGCCGCCGCGGUAAUAC